AGUAAGUAGACAAAUUAGAGCUUGAUAGUAAGCAUUUCAUUUACACUGAAAAUUUAAUUGUGCAAUUCAAUUUA
rnacentral:tRNA from 1 species